AAGUCGUAACAAGGUAACCGUAGGUGAACCUGCGGUUGGAUCAUUAACAAAUGAUUUGGUUUUGAACCAAAACACUAUGUGCAACUACAUCUGUUUCUGGUGGUUUUUGUGUAUUUCUCUCUUGCCCGGUGCUCCCGAACGUCACUCAAGCAUGGGUAGAAAAUGGCAGGAGGAGAUCGCAGCCACCGAAUGACCAAUCAACUUUUUGUAUUUUUUUUUGUCUGAAUCAUUCACAUUUUGUGCAAUGAAAAACAAUUUUUAACAACGGAUCUCUCGGUUCUC
rnacentral:misc_RNA from 1 species